GCAAGUCGAACGAGAACGGGCUUUAGUUUACUAAAGUUGUCAGCUAAGUGGCGCACGGGUGAGUAAUAUAUAGUUAAUCUGCCCUAGAGAGAGGGAUAACGUUUGGAAACGAACGCUAACACCUCAUAUGCCUUUAAUACAUAAGUAUGCAAGGGAAACAUUUAUGGCUCUAGGAUGGGACUGUACGGUAUCAGUUAGUUGGUGAGGUAAUGGCUCACCAAGACAAUGACACCUAACUGGUUUGAGAGGAUGAUC
rnacentral:rRNA from 1 species